rnacentral:rRNA from 1 species
AUUGAACGCUGGCGGCAUGCCUUACACAUGCAAGUCGAACGGCAGCACGGGAGCAAUCCUGGUGGCGAGUGGCGAACGGGUGAGUAAUAUAUCGGAACGUGCCCAGUCGUGGGGGAUAACUGCUCGAAAGAGCAGCUAAUACCGCAUACGACCUGAGGGUGAAAGGGGGGGAUCGCAAGACCUGUCGCUGUUGGAGCGGCCGAUAUCAGAUUAGCUAGUUGGUGGGGUAAAGGCCUACCAAGGCAACGAUCUGUAGUUGGUCUGAGAGGACGACCAGCCACACUGGGACUGAGACACGGCCCAGACUCCUACGGGAGGCAGCAGUGGGGAAUUUGGGACAAUGGGCGCAAGCCUGAUCCAGCAAUGCCGCGUGCAGGAAGAAGGCCUUCGGGUUGUAAACUGCUUUUGUCAGGGAAGAAAUCCUCUAGGUUAAUACCCUUGGGGGGAUGACGGUACCUGAAGAAUAAGCACCGGCUAACUACGUGCCAGCAGCCGCAGUAACAC